GGGGAUGUGGCUCAAGCAGUAGCGCGCUCACCUGGCAUGUGGGGGGCACUGGGUUCGAUCCUCAGCACCACA
rnacentral:tRNA from 1 species